UUCCUCAUAUAUACUUUCUUAUAUCACAAUAACAAUAAUAUUGUAAGAAUUGUAUAAUAAAGUACAUAUUCUCUUCAUUCUGUCUGUUAUAGGAAAUGUGAACUGAAACUGCAGAGGAAAAAAAUGACUAAAGGAAAGAAAACUUUCAUAUGCAGGUAUAUCACCA
rnacentral:lncRNA from 1 species